rnacentral:lncRNA from 1 species
ACCUACGUCAGGUUAAGAUUCUUGCAUCUCACUCCAAAAUCCUCUACCUUCUGUUGGGCUGUAAUCCCCUAGGCAUGAUUGUCUGUACUUUAUAAAUCCGAUCACCCCAUGUUACACCCUUCCCCAACGUUACACCCUUCUGUGUAACCUAAUCUUCCAUUUCCACUUCUUUCUCCAGACAGUAGCCAAUCCCAGGAAGUGGGAGUGUUCUUAAGUGAGUCUAAUCACUUAAAAAGCAGAGUUGUCCAGGGAAGACUUCUCCAGAGAAGUCAGACUGAAUUUGUGGAGGCUGGGCUUUGGUGAGCUCAGUGUUGCUGCUGACCUGGAUAUCCACGAAUCUUCUAGACUUGAGACAAUACAUCGCAGAUUCUGAAACAUGGAUUCAGACACACUGCAAACCUUCCAGAGGGAGCUCUGUUGCUUUAUCUGCAGGAACUACUUAAUGGACGCAGUCACCAUUGACUGUGGGCAUAGCUUUUGCAGGCCCUGCCUUUAUCUAUGCUGGGAGAAAGGCCAAGCUCCAGCGGUCUGUCCUGUGUGUGGGAAAAUCCCCUAGAAGACUGACUUCAACACAAAUAUUGUUCUCAAGAAGUUGGCUUCUCUUGCAAGGCAGCGCAGACCUCACAACAUCAACAGCUCAGAGAAGCAGAUCUGUGUGCUACAUGAAGAGGAAAAGGGGCUCUUCUGUGAGGCAGAGGAGAGACUCCUCUGUGGGCCCUGCUCUGAGUCACCAGAGCAUGAGGCUUAUGGCCACAGCCCAAUAUGAUGGGCUGCUGAGGAGUGCAGG